AGAAGCAUGAGAAAACUGCUUUCCAGUAUUUACUGUUAGAACCUGGUCAGGCUCCUGGAGAUAAAACUCACAGAAGUGAAGCCCCUCCCCUGUGACUGAGUCCCCGUUUGGUUAUUUUUAACUGUUGGACUCACCCACACUUAGCAUAUAGCAAUGUGCCAGUUACAGUUCAGAUUUUCCUAUCCUAGCACUGGUUCUCACAGUGGUUUCUACUCAUUAGUCUCUGCUCUGUGUCCUUUGCUUCAAAUAAUGAAUGCUGUGAACAGGCAGUGAAUUAGAUGCUUUUAAGAAGAAACACAUAGUGCACAAGAGCACAAUCAAAGCUGUGAUAGUAACAUGGAACUUCUAGAAAGGAGUGUGAGAGAAGAGCGCUCAGAUUUAAAAGAAGUGCUUAGCAGAUGUGUCUGUAUAUGGCAAGUGAAGAACUUACCAAAGGGAUAAUGAGGAAUGAAUAAGAGAGACAGCAGGUGAAAAUGGAUGCCAACUAUGAACUACAUGCAGGUAGGGAAGACUUCCCAGAGGAGGUAAAGUGAGAGCAAAGAGCACAAUAAAACGAAGCCACAAGCUGCGUGGGGACAUAAUGGAGGAGCGUUCUUGGGCAGUAGAAAUAGCAAGAUCCUCAUCUCCAGGGUGAAGUCUGAAUGGUGUGUUUGAGAAACACCAAGGAAGCAAAGAGAGCAAAAGCAAUGAUGGCAGAAGGUGACAUAGGAGAGGCUGACAGGGCCCAGGCAUAUUAAGGGCCCAUGUAGACUUCUGUAAAAUCCUUUGGGUUUUACUCUAGGUAAAGCGAGAUCCCAUCAAGGGAGUUUGAAAAAGCAGUGGCUUGCUUAAAUUUCUAUUUUAAAAGAGAACUCUGAAAAUACGGUGAACAAAAUGUAAUGAAAUUCUACCUCAUAAAACCUGAGAUACAGCAAUAGUAGAGCUUAGAAGUAAAAGUAUGUAAAGUUUAAAAACAGGCAAAAGUAAAUGGAAGCAGAAAAAGCCAGGAAAGCAGUUGCAUAUUGGCAUGAUGACUGGGAAUUCUGGGAUGCUAAGAGUGUUCUAUUUCUUGAUUUGGGUGCCAGUGAUACUAACAUAUUUAUUUUACAUACAGUUCUACACUUAGGGUUUCUGCACAUUUCUUUAUGUGAACAAGCAGAAACUUUUUUUUUAAAAAAAGGACAACUUAAGAACAGCCAAAUCAGACUGAAGAAAAAUGCAACAGAGGAUUUGCUUUAUAAGAUAUUGAGACAAUAUAAAUGUAUAAAUAAUAGUGUGAUAUUGGCACAGAGGGAAACAAAUACAUAGAAGGAAAAGAAUAGAGAACUCAGUUUCACACAAAUAGAAACCUGAAAUAUGAUAUGGUUGACUUGUACAAAAUCAUAAUUUCUGGAUAGAUUAAGGUCUUGCAUCUAGACAUUAACACCAUAAAAUUAUGAAACAUUUAAAGAAAAUAUAGACUAGCUUCAAUGAUCUUAAGGUACAACGCGGUUUUUUAUGUAUGAUUAAAAGUCAUAAAUCAUUAAGGGAUGCAAAUUGGCAAAAUCAAUGAAAUUAAAUUUAUGAACAUCUGUUUAUCAAAAGAUACUCAUUUCAUAAGAAGAAAGGUAAGCCACAGCUAGGGAAAAAAUAUUGCAACGCAUGUAGCAGAUAAAAGACUAGCAUCUCAAAUGUAUAAAGAACCCUUUUGAAUCAAUAAACAAUAAACCAAAAAGAAGACUGCAAUAAAUAUUUAAUAGAAGAGCAAAAACAAAAAGUCAGUAAACAUAUGAAAAUAUUCACAACACUAUUAGAAUUUAGAGAAAUGCUAAUGGAAACUACAAUGAAAUUCAAUCUCACAUCCUUCCAAUUGGCAAAAAUUAAAUGUGUGUGUAUGUGCCUGUAUCGUCUGUUGCUACUAAGUAGUGGUGAAGAUGCAAAUUGCUAGUAACAUUCACAUAGUGCCAGUUGAAGUAUAAAUUUGUCUAACUACUUGGGAAAAUAAGUUGGCAUUACCUACUAAAGUGUGAAUAUGACAAUGUUCUAUGAUCCAGAAAUUCUUCUUAUAGGCCUAGCAAUACACAUUGACAUAUACAUCAAGAGACAUAUAUGGAUGAAUUUAUUUAUGUGUGUAUUAUAAAUGAACCUAGAUAAAAGACCACAAUGUGGACAGUAAAAACAGAUGCAUGUGUGUAUGUGAUUGGCUGGUUGCUGGGUAGGGGUGUGGAUACCCAACUCAAAACAUGGAGUUAAGUGAAAGUCAAAUACAGAGUGAACAAAUUCCUACCUGCCUUUUCCUUUUUGCCCCCAAAACACUGAUAAUUAGGCAGUCAGCCUUAUACUACCCUAAUAUAAGUUUAGAAUAUUCAUUUUUUUGGGGAAAAAAGAGACCCAGAUGUAUUGAUAGAUUGAAUAUAUGUGUUUUUAAGUCCAAUUACAAUUUACAUACUUUUACUUCUAAACUUCACUAUUGCUGUAUCUCAGGUUUUAUUAGGUAUAAUUUCAUUAGUUUUUUUUCUCCGUAUUUUCUAAUUUAAACUAUGAUUUCUUAUUUAACCCAUAGAUUACUUAGAAUUGUGAGGUUUAAAAAAUGUAUCUUUAUAAAUGCAUUGGGUAUUUUUUAGUCAUAUUGUUAUUACUAACUUUUAAAGUCUUUCAUUGUAUUUUAAUGUCCUGAUUGUGGCCAGUUCAAUAAAUGUUCCAUGAGUAUAUGAAAAGAGUAUGUACCAUUGUCUUAAUUUGUGUUU